rfam:Ictidomys tridecemlineatus contig057454, whole genome shotgun sequence.
GUGGUUGUGGCUCAGGGGUAGGGUGCCCGCCUAGCAUGUGUGAGGCCCUGGGUUCGAUCCUCAGCACCACA